CCUACGGGGUGCAGCAGUAGGGAAUCUUUCACAAUGGGCGAAAGCCUGAUGGAGCAACGCCGCGUGCAGGAUGAAGGCCUUCGGGUUGUAAACUGCUUUUAUAAGCGAGAAAUAUGAUGGUAACUUAUGAAUAAGGAUCGGCUAACUACGUGCCAGCAGCCGCGGUCAUACGUAGGAUCCGAGCAUUAUCCGGAGUGACUGGGUGUAAAGAGUUGCGUAGGUGGCAUAAUAAGUAGCUAGUGAAAUCUGGUGGCUCAACCAUUCAGACUAUUAGCUAAACUGUUAAGCUCGAGACCGUUAGGGGUAACUGGAAUUUCUGGUGUAGGAGUGAAAUCCGUAGAUAUUAGAAGGAACACCAAUAGCGUAGGCAGGUUGCUGGGACGGUUCUGACACUAAGGCACGAAAGCGUAGGGAGCAAACGGGAUUAGAUACCCGUGUAGUC
rnacentral:rRNA from 1 species